GGGGUUCCAGGACUGAGCCUCUGGGAGAUGGCAUGGUUACAGAAGUGCCCGUAGGGAGGACUCUUCCAGCUCCUCGGCUGGACGCUCCGUUACAGCCCAGCUGGCAUCGCAGGGGUCCUCCAAGAGCAAAGUCCCAAGCCGAAGGAGGAAAAAAGUCCCCGGAGCCAUCUGAAGUCCUGAGGCAGAUGCUGGAGGAACUGGAGAG